rnacentral:rRNA from 1 species
GACAGAGGUGCCAAGCGUUAGGCGGAAUCACUGGGCUUAAAGCGUGUGUAGGCGGAUGUCUAAGUACCUUGUGAAAUCCCACGGCUCAACCGUGGAACUGCUUGGUAUACUGGAUGUCUUGAGCCAUCUAGGGGCUACCGGAACAAUGGUGGAGCGGUGAAAUGCGUAGAUAUCAUUUGGAACGCCAAUGGUGAAAACGGUAGCUGGGGGAUGUGCUGACGUGAGACACGAAAA